AAGAACUGCAGCUUGUCAAAGAUCAGCUGUACUGCUCUAGCAUCAGCGCUAGAGUGCAACCCAUCAAAUCUGACAGAACUGGACCUGAGCAACAACCACCUGCAGGAUUCUGAUGUUCAAGAGCUCCAGGAUCUGGUGAAGAGUCCAAAUUUCAAACUCCAAAUUCUGAGUCUGUAAGUUUGGGAGCCAAAUUUUCUUUCUGGUGACGGAGAGGAAGAAACAUGAGCAUCUGGUCUUCAGAGAUGUCCUGAGAGGACCUCCUGGGUGGUGGAGAGCAGAGUAAUGGAAGAAUCAGAAGAAGUGGAGAUGAAUGUUAGAGCUGAAGCAUGAACUGAUCUGAGAUCUGCUCCACUGUCUUUCUCAGCAUGAAGUGUAAAGUCAGGAAGGUGCAGUUCCCCUGGUUGACUGAUGAAGAACUUCACUUCAUUUUUUUUAUCACUUUCUUUUUUAUUGUUUAUUAA